GUUUUACCAGUUUUAACACCAUUAUUGUCCUGAUUCUGUGGAAGAUUAGCUGUGGAGUUGGACUUUGCAGCAGUUUAAUUCAACACACAGAUCACCUUUACUUCUGCUGACUUCUGGAGGACACCAAUCCUGCAGUUUAAGCAUACAAUGUGGCAUCUAAGCAAUAUCUUUGUCUGGCUUUAUAACAAGAAAUCUACACCAGCUCAGCCUUUACUGCUUCAAGUGAUAAGAUGCUCUUAUCUGUUAAAGAGAGAUCAGCUAGGUACAGACAGAAAUUGAAGGAAAAUCCUGUUCACAGGGAGGAAAAACUAGCAAAGAGAAGAGAAAUGUGAUUGUAAUGUCUUGAAAUAAGAUGAAUAAAGUGAGCAAAGAACAUGUGAGAUGUAGGAUAGGUAUGGGAAGGGCUACAUCUUAAACAGGAGUAAAUGAAGAGGUUUAAGACAAACAUGAUGCUGUUUUGCAAAUGUCAUGUGUAUUAUAUGUAUAAUAUCAUGUGUUUGAAAGGA